rnacentral:rRNA from 1 species
UGCCAGCCGCCGCGGUAAUACGGGGAUGCAAGCGUUAUCCGGAAUCAUUGGGCGUAAAGCGUACGUAGGCGGAUUAAUAAGUUAGAGGUGAAAUCCCAGGGCUCAACCCUGGAACUGCCUUUAAAACUGUUGGUCUUGAGAUCGAGAGAGGUGAGUGGAAUUCCAAGUGUAGAGGUGAAAUUCGUAGAUAUUUGGAGGAACACCAGUGGCGAAGGCGGCUCACUGGUUCGAUACUGACGCUGAGGUACGAAAGUGUGGGGAGCAAACAGGAUUAGAUA